GCUGGGCCAGGCGGCGCGGAGCGCGCGGGGGCUCCAGACCAAAGUCCGAGAGGGGCCACAGCGCGUCACGGGCGGUUGCCCCGCCCUUUGACCCUCGGGAUGCUGAUUAACCAGGCGGCCAAUAGGCGGUCGGGCAGAGGCGCGCACCUCCGACGGCGCGGAACACACGGCUCUGGAGCGCGGCUCCUGGGGGACCAUGGAGAGCCCCGUGAGAGUGAAGGCUUGGGUGCAGGAGAACCGCGCCUCCUUCCUGCCCCCGGUCUGCAACCAGCUCCUGCACCAGAAGCAGCUCAAAAUCAUGUUCGUCGGGGGUCCCAACACCAGGAAGGACUACCACAUCGAGGAGGGUGAGGAGGUGUUUUACCAGCUGGAAGGCGACAUGCUUCUCCAAGUCCUGGAGCAAGGGAGACGCCGGGAUGUGGUCAUUCGGCAGGGAGAGAUCUUCCUCCUGCCCGCUGGGGUCCCCCACUCUCCACAGAGGUUUGCCAACACAGUGGGGCUGGUGAUUGAGCGGAGGCGGCUGAAAACGGAGCUAGAUGCACUCAGGUACUACGUAGGCGACACCACUGACGUCCUGUUUGAGAAGUGGUUCUACUGCGAGGAUCUCGGCACACAGUUGGCCCCCAUCAUCCAGGAGUUCCUUAGCUCUGAGCAGCACAGAACAGGAAAACCCAACCCCGACCAGCUGCUCAAGGAACCGCCAUUCCCCCUGAGCACACGGUCCGUCAUGGAGCCCAUGUCGCUGGAGGCCUGGUUGGCUGGCCACCGCAAGGAGCUGCACGCUGGCAUACCCCUCAGCCUGUUUGGAGACACCUAUGAGACCCAGGUGAUGGUCUGUGGACAAGGCAGCAGCGAAGGCCCGAGACAGGACGUUGACGUGUGGCUGUGGCAGUUGGCAAGUGGGCCCGGGGGUGGGGCGGGGGGGGCACAGCCUCCUGCCUGCCCGUGAGGACCAAGCUGCUCCUGGGGUGUCCACAGCCCGGACCGGCUCCCGGGCCUCCUUGCCAAGGCUGACUCAGGGACGCUCGGACAGGUGCCGCGGCCUGACAGCCUCCAUUUGUUUCUCCUAUUCCUCUUUCCUAGGAGGGCUCCUCAGUGGUGACGAUGGAAGGACAGCGCCUGAGCCUGACCCCCGAUGACAGCCUCCUGGUGCCAGCUGGGACCGCGUACAGCUGGGAACGAGGGCAAGGCUCCACGGCCCUGUCUGUGACUCAGGACCCUGCCCGCAAGAAGCCCCUGGGGUGACCGAUCCUCAUGCUGCGGGCCCAGAGCUGCCACAGGUGCCCCCGAGCGCCACCCCUGCCAAGUAACCCUCCCAGCCCCACCGCUUCUACGUGCACUGCUGCCGAGUGACUCAGGGUCUCCUGGGCCGGGUCCUGGACAUCACUGUCAUCCAUCCUCCUCCUGUCCUCUCCAGGAUUGCCAGGCUCAGCACAGCACCUGCCUGCUGCCAAGAAGGUCCUUAGUAAAGGCUUCCUGACAGACGGGCAUCUACGGGUCUGCACACACACAGCCUGUGAUCUUUGCCAGACACCUGGUGCUCCCAUGACUGUGUGCGUGUGCAGGGGGGAGGGAGAUCUGGAGCGCUGGUGACCGUGGACCUUGUGGAGAGUCUGUGAUCGGGUCCCCCUGCUUGUAGAGAAGCCCUCAUGCUCUGUGUGUGGCGCCUCCAUGCGAGCUCCUAUGCCUGUCCUGCGGCACAGCUGAUGUCCCUCUGCCUCUUUCUCUUUCUCACUUACUCUUUUUACAUAACUUUAAAAUAUAGCAUCUGUUGAGGUUUCUCUCCCCA